AAAAUGCGAUACUUGGUGUGAAUUGCAGAAUCCCGUGAACCAUCGAGUUUUUGAACGCAAGUUGCGCCCGAAGCCAUCCGGCUGAGGGCACGCCUGCCUGGGCGUCACGCAUCGCGUCGCUCCCCACCAUACCUCCCCAACGGGUUGGCAUGGUGUUGGGGGCGGAUAAUGGCCUCCCGUGCUUGUGUUUCGGUUGGCCUAAAUAAGAGUUCCCUUCGGCGGACACACGACUAGUGGUGGUUGAAUAGACCCUCGUCUUUUGUUGCGUGUCGUGAGCUGAAAGGGUAGCCCUCAUCAAAGACCCCAUUGUAUCGUCUUCGGAUGAUGCUUAGACCGCGACCCCAGGUCAGGCGGGACUACCCGCUGAGUUUAAGC
rnacentral:misc_RNA from 1 species